rnacentral:rRNA from 1 species
UACGUAGGGCGCAAGCGUUAUCCGGAAUUAUUGGGCGUAAAGAGCUCGUAGGCGGUUUGUCGCGUCUGCCGUGAAAGUCCGGGGCUCAACUCCGGAUCUGCGGUGGGUACGGGCAGACUAGAGUGAUGUAGGGGAGACUGGAAUUCCUGGUGUAGCGGUGAAAUGCGUAGAUAUCAGGAGGAACACCGAUGGCGAAGGCAGGUCUCUGGGCCACUACUGACGCUGAGAAGCGAAAGCAUGGGGAGCGAACAGG